CGUACGUAUAUGUAUUUGAAUUCAGAGGGAAAAAGCCGUUGCCUACAUUGCUGACCGAUUCAUCCUCCUGAAUACUCUCGUUUUCCCCUGCAAAUAUACAGUAUGGGCAUCCUUUGUUAACAUAUCUCGUCAAAGCAGUGGAUUCAAAGCACAUUGUGGCCUCAGUAUAUUGAUGUGAAACCAUGCAGAAAAUGCUACUCUCUCGAAACCUUGUGGAUGUUCCCUAAGGAUCAGCAGCCUCUUGAAACAGUUGAAGCCAUUAUCGAAUUCCUUGCGUCUAUGUUCCCUGGAUCUGAAAGCAGUGCAUAAUGCAGGAGAUUCUACCCAAAAGCUAACCCACUGAGCAGCGCCAGAUUGACGUUGCUCUAUCCCUUAUUGUUGAACGCCAAACAAGGUAGCAGCAACUCCCGUCUUUUAACGUCUUUUGGUAUGACGCGGCCCGGGCUCGAACCCACGACCUCCCGGUUGUGAGGUGGACGCUCUACUGACUGAGCCAACAAACCGGUCUAAGUUGGUAAUAGAGAAAAUUGAGUGAGGUAAAUGCAAUACAAUUCGAUUCCAUUAUUAAGCAAUUAAGACUUGAAGUUCGUGAACCUCCAACAAAUUUAAAAAAUGAUGCAGUUUGGUUUUAUGUGUAAAGUGAAUGGAAACAAAGGACCUACCGGUAUGUGUCUUUGUAUGUUUUGGACUGCGCGUAUUCAGUGAGCUCUUUUUGAUAAUAUACACUAUGUAAAGCAUAUUGAACUCUAUGUCAACAUAAAAAACUAUGUGAUUUUGACUGUUUUGCAGCAAUCAUGUCUGAACGAGCCUUAAAGUGACUUGGUAACAUUGUUCAGAUGAGAGAAAAUGGUGCUAUUAAAGGUAUUGCCUUCAAUGCUAUAUGUACACUUAAAAAUAAUCUGAAAGUUUGAGUGAAAAAAGACCAUUAUUGAUGAUAAAAAUUGAAAACAAAAUUUCUGAUCUGAUCGAUUCCUUAAUUCUGCCAACUAUAUUAUUAUAAUUUAAUUAAAUUUUAGGUGAAUGUAAAUCGUCACAAAGCAAAGAAUUGGCUCUUAUAUUUUAGAGUUUUAAAGGCCUGUUUUAUAUCUUAUUUUCAGGGAAAAACGGUUGGGAAAAAUUCAAAAAUAUGUUGGGAGAAUUAAGUGUUAAAGAGUGACACACAGUGGCGCCUUCAAAGAAAACCAUAAAUAUCUUUGUGGUUUGAGAAUUUUUUGGUAAUUAAAAGUAUACAAUUCUUGGAUUGUAUCUGUGAUUUUGAAAGCACAAUAUGGCUUACCUAUAUUGAAUUUGCUGUAAAAAUUUAAGUUAAAUUUUAUUUUUUUGUGAAACUCCCCCCAGGAGUAUAAACUUGCCAAAUGAAUGUUGUGACAUUAGCAAUGGAAUAUAUCUCUUUGUGCUAAACUUUUUAAGCAUGUUUGCUAUUUUAUCUUAAACUUGGAAAUAUCUUCCGAAUAAUUAUUGCACAGUCACCUUGAAAUUGCCCAACAGAGCCAAUCGUACUGGCGGGAAUGUUUUUUGAUAGAAAUUGUAUUUUUAUACUUGAACUUCAGCUUCUGUAUUUGCAACAAAAUGUUUUUUGAUGAUAUUUAUAAGUAUGAAUGUUGCCACUAAUGCCUUUUUUGUGUUUAAGUCAUGUGCCAGUAAGAAGCAGGUUUCUAGCACAGAGAAUAGGUAUAGUUGAGCUGAUUUCUGCACAGUUUUCCAAUAUGCUGUAUCGCCAAAUGUGAACAUCGUGGUUUCAACAGGCAAGCAACCAUCAUCAGAAAACUCUGCAGGUAUCAGUCAAGCUCUCCCUGUUCCCCUUGCUGUCAACUUGUUCCUUUUGAGUGUAAGAAAUAACUUAGCUAAGCCAUGUGUUUAUCAUUUGUGCCAUUUUUCUCUUGUGUGUGAUUUAGAUUGUAUAGUUUUAUACUUUAUACUGAAUUCUUGCCAUAAAAUUAGAUAUUCCCCUUGUAAUUUUUUGAUCUUUCAUGUUCAGGAAUUGUUUCCAACAACCUUUUGUUUUAUGUGAUAGUCUUUAUCUGCACUAAAGUCUUGGGGUGGUUGUGAGGAGCAGUUUUGCAGCGUGGAGACGAGGUAGAGCUGCACUGAUGAAUGCCCAGCUUUCCACUAUGCUGUUUUGCUGAAUAUGAGGAACUUCCCCAGUCUGCUGUUUGCUUGUCUUCUAAACAACUGCGGGUAUCAGUGUAGCUUUACCUAGUCUCCAUGCUGCUAACCUGCUUCUCACAACCGCAAGACUUAUAAGUUAAGCCAAUUCAUGUUUUAGUUUCUUGUAACAGAAUGAAAUCUGAAAUGAAGCAGCACAAUUUAUAACAACACAAAUAUCUUUGUGAUGGCCUGUUAACUUUCUUAAAAUCAAUUAUGAGACUGACAGAAAUACACUAGGUAUUUAUACAGCAUGUUUUGGAAGAAGUGUCAGGAUGGUGAUGGAAAGAUUCUGUAUGUAUAGAAGACAAGUUAGAUAGAAGAAGAAGGUAUACAAAUAAGUAUUCUAUAUUUUUGUUAUCCAUUUUCAUACCAUAUACAUGUACAUUAAAAAUAUCAAAAUUACUUUCUGUCUGGCAUGUCUA
rnacentral:lncRNA from 1 species